rnacentral:lncRNA from 7 species
AUCCAAAAUAUGCUCUUUAAUUAGGGCACUUUGGGUAGCAAAUUGCUCACGAAAUUAAGUUCUUCUGCCAAUUUUCACACUUUCCAUCCUCACCACCUAUACAAAUUGCUAAUUGCCUAUUUUUCUAAAAGAUUUUCUUCUCUUUUUCAAUGAUGAAAUACUUCCUGACUUCUAAAUGUGCCAUGUGAUGGUGAAUACAGGGAGUGCCAUUAGUGUUUAAUUGCCUUUCUUUAGAUAAUGAAGUGUUUAGUUACCAAGCACUUUGAAUUGUCUUAGUUGGGUGGUUAUAUAUAGAAAUCUGACAAUGGGCCUCUUAUUUUUCCUGAACAACCCUGAUCUCCCUAGUCCUGACAUAGGGUAAACCUAGCUUACUGUU